rnacentral:rRNA from 1 species
UACGUAGGCAGCGAGCGUUGUUCGGAGUUACUGGGCGUAAAGAGUGCGUAGGCGGUUUUCUAAGUUUGGUGUGAAAUCUCCCGGCUCAACUGGGAGGGUGCGCCGAAGACUGGAAGGCUUGAGUAUGGGAGAGGUAAGCGGAAUUCCUGGUGUAGCGGUGAAAUGCGUAGAUAUCAGGAGGAACACCUGCGGUGUAGACGGCUUACUGGACCAUAACUGACGCUGAGGCACGAAAGCGUGGGUAGCAAACGGGG